rnacentral:rRNA from 1 species
UACGAAGGGGGCUAGCGUUGCUCGGAAUUACUGGGCGUAAAGGGCGCGUAGGCGGACAGUUUAGUCGGGGGUGAAAGCCCGGGGCUCAACCUCGGAAUUGCCUUCGAUACUGGCUGUCUUGAGUACGGGAGAGGUGUGUGGAACUCCGAGUGUAGAGGUGAAAUUCGUAGAUAUUCGCAAGAACACCAGUGGCGAAGGCGGCUCACUGGCCCGAUACUGACGCUGAGGCACGAAAGCGUGGGGAGCAAACAGG